CCUGCGCCGCCGUCGCUGCUUCGCGCGGCGCAACCGCUGCUGCACACCAGCAGCUCGCCUGCGAUGAGCGCCCCUCCUGAUACAGGUGCGCUUUGGCGCUGAGUACAGAAGGCGAGGUGUGGGGGGGUGUUUUAAUAGCAAUAAACAGUACAACUCUCACCUCCCCCUCUCUCAAAGGAAAGCGGACUACUCACGAAUCAAACAACCAAGGUGCUGGGCUCCUCCUUCGAUCCAAAGGUCGGCGUUGGACCUGAUGGUGCUCAGCAGCUGUGUAACGUCGGAGGAUGCGUUACGAAAGCACCGAACGUUACGCUCCUUCCAAAUCUCCCAGGCUACUAAUGCGAAGAGGGUGUCGGCUCCUUUCUGACGUUCACCGUGCCAGCGCAACCUCCAACGGUCCCACCAUGCCAGAAGGGUCUCAUCGCCAACCCAGGAUGCGUCGGCUCCAAGUACUGAGAGUAUGGUCCACCAGACCUGACGUGAGAACGAGCAAGAAGCCACGAUAUGAUCGAUAGUCUCUGGGUCUUGAUCGCAGAGGUAGCAACUGUCGACGGCUUGCAGGCCGUGGCGUCGCAACAUUGCCAUUACAUGACUGACUAUCAGCUGGAAGAAUCUCAAGAUAAGCUAAGGUUUUCUUAUUUCUGGGUUUCCAAAUUAAAACACUGUAUCUCAGCUCUUUUAUGAUAUGUGUUCCCUGAUAAAUAAGAGAUCAUGGGAAAUUGCAUGCCCAUAAA